rnacentral:snRNA from 1 species
GCUUUUAAAAACAUAUACUAAAAUUGGAACAAUACAGAGAAGGUUAGCAUGGCCCCUGUGCAAGGAUGACACGCAAAUUCAUGAAGUGUUCUUUUUUUUU